ACAAAGAGAAUUCCACCUUUCAAUACCACUUGGCAAACUAGUAUUAAACGUCCUAAUUUUUCCUUUACAAAAAAAAUGUUGCUAUCGAGUGACUACAGAUUAUUAUGUUCAGUGCUUGCAUCUCAAUCCGCUAGUUCUCGGUUCAAAUUAGACAGAAACAUUUAAAGAUUCAUGGUCAAUAUAUUUGAUAUGAUGAAAAUCUAUAAUCAGGGAUAAGGACGGAGUGUUUCAGACUUCCCAGGAAAGAAACAUGAACCGGAUAGAAAUAAUGAUACUGAGAUUGUUUAACAGUGAAAAUUCCGAAAAUAAUAUUAUAAAUUUCAUUUAAUAAAUGACUCAUUCCUUAAUGUUACCCUCUGUUAUAAAUACCAUUAAAAUCAUAAUCAAUUUAAUAAAAUAUUUUAUUUUUAC